rnacentral:rRNA from 1 species
GACGAACGCUGGCGGCGUGCUUAACACAUGCAAGUCGAACGGUGAAGGGAUCAGCUUGCUGGUUCUGGAUGAGUGGCGAACGGGUGAAUAACACGUGAGUAACCUGCCCCCUUCUUCUGGAUAACCGCAUGAAAGUGUGGCUAAUACGGGAUAUUCUGGGUCUGUCGCAUGAUGGGUCUGGGAAAGAUAUUGUUUCGGUGGGGGAUGGGCUCGCGGCCUAUCAGCUUGUUGGUGGGGUGAUGGCCUACCAAGGCGGUGACGGGUAGCCGGCCUGAGAGGGUGGACGGCCACACUGGGACUGAGACACGGCCCAGACUCCUACGGGAGGCAGCAGUGGGGAAUAUUGCACAAUGGGCGCAAGCCUGAUGCAGCGACGCCGCGUGAGGGAUGGAGGCCUUCGGGUUGUAAACCUCUUUCGCCAGUGAAGCAGGCCUGCUCCUUGUGGGUGGGUUGACGGUAGCUGGAUAAGAAGCGCCGGCUAACUACGUG